AGGCAGAGGGAACAGUUGAAUUGUGAUGUAGUCACAACAAAGGCCUCAGCUGACCCCAUGGGGAGCUGUGAGCUGGGGGGACUUUCAGAGUCGCUCUGCAUUAAGGUGGAAAAAAGAAGCUUGGAGAAGGGGAAAUGACUUUACCCAGCUAAGAAUAUGGCAAAGCUGAGCCAACUAGUCAAGUUUUCUGACCCCAAAUCCUGUAUUUCCCAUGACUCAUCUUGUGGAAGGCUGAGGCCUCAGUUUCUCUGUCAGCACCAGAUGGGGACUUCUUCAGCCUGACACUCCAUAACUCAAGGUUGCACCCACAUCUCCUACCUUUGGGGGAAGGAGAGAGGGAUUAUGGGACAGUGGCAUCAAUCUCCUUCCCAGGAUGGAUCCUCUGAGCUCUAUAUUUCUUGCCUAUAGUGACCAGGGAAUUUUCCUCUAUUGAUUGCUUUCUGUAAUCGAGC
rnacentral:lncRNA from 10 species